rnacentral:lncRNA from 1 species
CAUGAGCGGAGCUUGCUGAAAUCCCAAGUCAUUGUCUACCAUUUCUCUAAUUUCUUCAACCUUUUUAAGUGCGUACUUUGGGUCAUCAGGAAGAACCAUUAUUAUCCUCCCAUCGGGAUAUUCAGCCAAAAUUCUCUCCUUUUUCCAUCCCACAUAUUUUACAGCACUUAUGAACUGGUUAUGAAAGAGGAGGUGUUGGGUUUCAUCCUCUGGAUUUGAUGCAGUAUAAAGCAUUCCACAAAUAUUACAAGAAAUAGCACCAAAUCUCUUCUGUCCUGCAUCUAUGAUCAGCUGCUUUUCGC